GAUCCUGCCGGAGGCCACUGCUAUCGGAGUUCGAUUAAGCCAUGCGAGUCGAGAGGUGCAAGACCUCGGCAUACUGCUCAGUAACACGUGGACAACCUACCCUAUGGAGGGGGAUAACCCCGGGAAACUGGGGAUAAUACCCCAUAGACUAUAGAUGCCGGAAUGCUUUGUAGUUGAAAGGUCCGCCGCCAUAGGAUGGGUCUGCGGCCGAUUAGGUUGUUGUUGGGGUAACGGCCCAACAAGCCUGUAAUCGGUACGGGUUGUGGGAGCAAGAGCCCGGAGAUGGAUUCUGAGACACGAAUCCAGGCCCUACGGGGCGCAGCAGGCGCGAAAACUUUACAAUGCGGGAAACCGUGAUAAGGGAACUCCGAGUGCCCGUAAAAUCGGGCUGUCCACCAGUUUAAAUAACUGGUGAAGAAAGGGCCGGGCAAGACCGGUGCCAGCCGCCGCGGUAAUACCGGCGGCUCGAGUGGUGGCCACUAUUACUGGGCUUAAAGCGUUCGUAGCUGGUCUGUUAAGUCUCUGGGGAAAUCUACUGGCUUAACCAAUAGGCGUCUCAGGGAUACUGGCAGACUAGGGACCGGGAGAGGUGAGAGGUACUCCAGGGGUAGGAGUGAAAUCCUGUAAUCCUUGGGGGACCACCUGUGGCGAAGGCGUCUCACCAGAACGGCUCCGACAGUGAGGGACGAAAGCUGGGGGAGCAAACCGGAUUAGAUACCCGGGUAGUCCCAGCCGUAAACGAUGCGCGUUAGGUGUAUCGGUGACCACGAGUCACCGAGGUGCCGAAGAGAAAUCGUGAAACGUGCCGCCUGGGAAGUACGGUCGCAAGGCUGAAACUUAAAGGAAUUGGCGGGGGAGCACCACAACAGGUGGAGCCUGCGGUUUAAUUGGAGUCAACGCCGGG
rnacentral:rRNA from 1 species